rnacentral:rRNA from 1 species
UACGUAGGGACCAAGCGUUGUCCGGAAUCAUUGGGCGUAAAGCGCGUGUAGGCGGCUUGUUAAGUCGGGUGUGAAAGCCCUCAGCUCAACUGAGGAAGGGCGCCCGAAACUGGCGAGCUUGAGUGUCGGAGAGGAUGGCGGAAUACCCCAAGUAGAGGUGAAAUUCGUAGAUAUGGGGUGGAACACCGGUGGCGAAGGCGGCCAUCUGGACGACAACUGACGCUGAGGCACGAAAGCGUGGGGAGCAAACAGG